AUGGAAGGACUCACUAUACCCAAAGUAUGUGGUGGCAUGGGUUUCAAAGACUUCGUCCUCUUCAAUAAGGCUAUGCUAGCGAAACAAGGGUGGCGCUUGAUUUGUAAUCCGGAGACGUUGUGUGCACGGGUGUUGAAAGGAAAAUAUUUUAAUGAUGGCAAUUUUAUGACAGUAGGGCAUAAGAGUAAUUCCUCACAAACUUGGAGGGCAAUCCUUUCUGGUAGGGAAGCCUUGGAGUUGGGCCUCAUUCGACGCAUUGGAGAUGGAUCAUCAACAAGAAUUUGGGAGGACCCCUGGAUCACUACUAAUCCUGGACUAAAGCCUAUUGUUAAGUUGCAAUCUUCAGGAAUAAAUUUGGUGGAAGAACUAUUAAACCCGGACUUGGGUGAGUGGAAUGAGGAGUUGGUGGAAGCAAAGUUUAUGCCGGUUGAUGCUCGGGCUAUUCUGCAAAUUCCGACUGUCCGAUUAGCAGAAGAUAGCUGGGCAUGGCAUCUGGAGAGAAAUGGCAAUUCUUCAGUACGGUCAGCCUAUCGAGCACUUCUGGAAAUGAAUCACUCUAUCACUUCAGUGUCUAGAAUUCCAGAUCGAAUGGCGACAAACAAUUGUUUUGGUAAAAGCUUUGGAAAAUGCGAGUACCGCCAAAAGUCUGUAACUUCUGGUGGAGGCAGAUUAAAAAUUUUAUACCUUGCCAAGCGAUUCUCCAUGGGAGACAUAUGGAUCGUACCUCAUUCUGUCAAUCAUGUGGAAGAGAGGAGACCAUUAAACAUGCCUUGUUCGAGUGUACAUGGGCCAAAUUGUUCUGGCAAGAGUUGA
rnacentral:rRNA from 1 species